UUGGAGGGCAAGUCUGGUGCCAGCAGCCGCGGUAAUUCCAGCUCCAAUAGCGUAUAUUAAAGUUGUUGCAGUUAAAAAGCUCGUAGUUGAAUUUCGGGAUCAAUGUUUCGGUCAUGCCGUUGGUAUGUACUGAUAUUAUUGGUUUCUCACCUUCUAAAGAACCGUAAUGCCAUUAAUUUGGUGUCACGGGGAAUUAGGACUGUUACCUUGAAAAAAUUAGAGUGUUUAAAGCAGGCUCACGCUUGAAUACAUUAGCAUGGAAUAAUGAAAUAGGACUUCCGAUUCUAUUUUGUUGGUUUCUAGGAUCGAUGUAAUGAUUAAUAGGGACAGUUGGGGGCAUUAGUAUUCAAUUGUCAGAGGUGAAAUUCUUGGAUUUAUUGAAGACUAACUACUGCGAAAGCAUUUGCCAAGGAUGUUUUCAUUAAUCAAGAACGAAAGUUAGGGGAUCGAAGACGAUCAGAUACCGUCGUAGUCUUAACCAUAAACUAUGCCGACUAGGGAUCGGAUGAUGUUAAUUUUUUAAUGACUCAUUCGGCACCUUACGGGAAACCAAAG
rnacentral:rRNA from 1 species